CUGGGCUCGAAAUGUAGUGGACCGGGGUGGAAACAUCCCUUCCCGCAAGGGCCGCUAUAUAGGUGCUGCAUGGCUGUCGUCAGCUCGUGUCGUGAGAUGUUGGGUUAAGUCCCGCAACGAGCGCAACCCUUAUUGCCAGUUGCCAUCAUUUAGUUGGGCACUCUGGCGAAACCGCCCCGGAUAACGGGGAGGAAGGUGGGGAUGACGUCAAGUCCUCAUGGCCUUUAUGUCCAGGGCUACACACGUGCUACAAUGGGUGGUACAAACCGUCGCAAACCCGCGAGGGGGAGCUAAUCGGAAAAAGCCAUCCUCAGUUCGGAUUGGAGUCUGCAACUCGACUCCAUGAAGCUGGAAUCGCUAGUAAUCGCGGAUCAGAACGCCGCGGUGAAUACGUUCCCGGGCCUUGUACACACCGCCCGUCACAUCACGAAAGUGGGUUGUACUAGAAGUCGUCGUGCCAACCGCAAGGAGGCAGACGCCCAAGGUAUAAUUCAUGAUUGGGGUG
rnacentral:rRNA from 1 species